AGAUUAAGUUAUUAAGGGCGCACGGUGGAUGCCUUGGCACUAGAAGCCGAUGAAGGACGUUACUAACGACGAUAUGCUUUGGGGAGCUGUAAGUAAGCUUUGAUCCAGAGAUUUCCGAAUGGGGAAACCCAGCAUGAGUUAUGUCA
rnacentral:rRNA from 1 species